rnacentral:rRNA from 1 species
UACGGAGGGUGCAAGCGUUAUCCGGAUUUACUGGGUUUAAAGGGUGCGUAGGCGGGUUGUUAAGUCAGUGGUGAAAGAUUUGAGCUCAACUCAAAAACUGCCAUUGAUACUGACGAUCUUUGAAUAUAGUUGAGGUGGGCGGAAUGUGUCAUGUAGCGGUGAAAUGCUUAGAUAUGACACAGAACACCGAUUGCGAAGGCAGCUUGCUAAACUAUUAUUUGACGCUGAGGCACGAAAGCGUGGGGAGCGAACAGG